GACGAAGGAUGCAAGCGUUAUCCGGAUUCAUUGGGUUUAAAGGGAGCGUAGGUGGCCUUGUAAGUCAGUGGUGAAAUCCUGUCGCUUAACGAUAGAAUUGCCAUUGAUACUGCAGGGCUUGAGUACAGCUGCCGUUGGCGGAAUAUGACAUGUAGUGGUGAAAUACUUAGAUAUGUCAUAGAGCACCGAUUGCGAAGGCCGCUGACGAAACUGUAACUGACACUGAGGCUCGAAAGUGUGGGGAGCAAACAGG
rnacentral:rRNA from 1 species